GGCGAUUGAGAAUAUUGAUUCAGUGGCAGAACAUAAGGUCAUUGACCUCCUGGUUCUGCUCAUCCUGCACACAACCAAAUCCAACCACAGCCGGCGCGGGGCGGAGAGGGUCCUGCGGACAAGGUGCGGGGAGUCCCUGCUUCAGGCUGCCGUCUGGGGUCACGCGACGGAAGAAGACAAUGAGGAUAAAAGUGACUCGGAGGUGAGGAAUGGAGUCUGAGAUGAUGAGGUGGAGGAUGAUGAAGAAGAGAGUACUGAUGAUUCAGAUUAGACACAUCUGCUCGAGGAGAGGGGACUGAAGAAGCAGCAACAGCCACUGCCCUGACUGCUUGCCACUACAGCCAGGAUACACUGUCCUCUCCCCACCAAUACAAAGCUGAGAGCACAGUGUUCAUAUGCUUUCCUGGAAACCACUCUCAAGCUCGUUGCUUCAGUUAUUUUCCUCUUAUUUUUUUGCAAGCAGAUUCAUUAUGGUCUCUGUAAAACAGCAUUAAUUGCAGGCUGACUGAGCACAGUCAGGGUGCUGGGUAUCCUGUCUUUGUAACGACUUAUAUAAAGCUAACUUGCUCCACCUUGGGAGAAUGAAAUAAUAAUUUGUAGUUGUGGACUCAAUGGGAAUAAUGUGAU